CCUACGGGUGGCAGCAGUGGGGAAUAUUGCACAAUGGGCGAAAGCCUGAUGCAGCAACGCCGCGUGAGCGAUGACGGCCCUCGGGUCGUUAAGCUCCUUUUUCACGGAAGUUAAUGCCGGUACUUGUGGCGGAAGCCACGGCUAAUUACGUGCCAGCAGCCGCGUGAAUACGUGGGGGGCUAGCGUUAUCCGGAAUUACGGGGCGUAAAGGGUGUGUAGGUGGUUUCUUAAGUGCGUGGUGAAAGGCUACGGUUCAACCGUAGUAAGCCUUUGACAAUGGGAAGCUUGAGUGCAGGAGAGGAAGGUGGAAUGCCUAGUGUAGCGGUGAAAUGCGUAGAGAUUAGGAAGAACACCGAUUGCGAAGGCAGCUUACUGGACUAUGACUGACGCUGAGGCACGAAAGCGUGGGGAGCAAACAGGAUUAGAUACCCGGGUAGUC
rnacentral:rRNA from 1 species